rnacentral:sRNA from 1 species
GAUAAAUGUUACCUUUGUUUGCAUUUAUCUCCUUAAAACCCGACCUCGACGCUUGUGUCUCAGUCUCAGUCUCACUUUCGCUUUCAGUUUCAGAUCUCUCUUUCAUCACACCAAUUUCCAGGAUUUGAAACAUGGCAGAUUCAAAACCAGGAUUGAGGAAGCCAGUGUUCACCAAGGUUGAACAGCUUCGCCUAGGAACAAGUGGGCACACUUUAACCGUGAAGGUGGUCAAUGUUAAGAUGGUGAUGCAGAAAGGUCGCUCCGAUGGUCCUCAAUCCCGUCAAAAUAAAUAUGAUUAAGAGAGAAAACAAGAUUAAGAAUAAUGACAAAGAGAGAAAACAAAAUUAAGCAAAUAAAUAUGAUUAAGAGAGAAAACAAGAAUAAUGAAAAAGUGUGACUGUAAAAGUUGUACUAAUUUGGUAGAAGACAGAGAAGAAGAACAGUAGAAGAGAGAAAAAAAGCUGCUGCUUGCAUAGAAAAAUCAGAAAAAUCAGAAAAAGCAGAAGAAAGAGAAAAAUAAUUAACGCCGUUUGUACGAAUUUAACGGAAGGGAUUUAAUUGAUGCAAAUUUUAUUAAGUGAGGACGUAAUUGACACAUUUUUUAAAGGAUGGACUAAUUUGACAUUUCCGAGCGAAACUGGGGACAAAAUAGGGUAUUAUACCUUUUUUAUAUUUUGUAAUCAUGGCACUAAGUCA